AUAGGGCCCGCUACUGUACAGCCCUACCCAGCCCAAGUCGGUUUUCCCCAAUCCAGUCAUCUCGUCGGCCGCACGCAUCCACCCCAUCACCGCCGCCGUCUCGCGCCCGUCUCGUCCGGCUCGUCCCAACCUCGAGGCCACCCGCCGGCGACCGAGCGUCCAUGACGGAGGAGCGCAUUUCCAGGGCCUCAGACGAGCCCCCCACCGCGACCAAGCAGAGGAAGAAGAGGAAGUGGGAUCAGCCCGCAGAGGACUUGGUCGCCGCGGCUGCGGCUGCUGCUGCUGCUGCGGGACUGCCCGUGUUGAACGUCGCAGCUCUGGCCGGCGUUCAAUUCCCUGGCACUACUGCGUAUCCUGCCGCCCCUUAUGCUUUGCCGCCGCAGCUCGCUCCAUCGGUGCUUCAGAGUGCUGCUGCUGCGAUUCAGAAAUUAAGUCAGGCAAAACUACCGGAUGAGCUUAUAGCACGAGAAGUUGUUAUAAAUGACGCUGAUCCAUCUGUGCGAUAUAAGCUCACGAAGCGGCAAACACAGGACGAGAUUCAACGAUGCACAUGCACUGUCAUCAUUACAAGGGGAAAAUACCAUCCUCCUAAUGGACAGCCUGAUGGCGAGAAGCCACUCUAUCUACAUAUCUCUGCAGGAUCUCAGCUAAAAGAUACCGCUGAGCGCAUUAAAGCAGUUGAUCUUGCAGCCUCAAUGAUCGAGGACAUCUUGAAACAUGGCCAAAUGCCAGAAGCCACAUCAGCCAAUUUCCCUUCUAUCCAGAGCAACAGACAGGCUGUUCCUUUUAGCGCCUCAAUCUUUUUGGGUUUUGACGCAGAUCCAUCAUUGAACGUUGCAGCUCGCAUCCGUGGACCAAAUGAUCAGUACAUAAAUCACAUUAUGAAUGAAACAGGGGUCACUGUUGUACUAAGAGGAAAAGAUUCAGGGAACCUUGGCAAUUGUCAUGCUGAAGCAUCACAGCAACCUCUGCACAUGCACCUAUCAGGUGUGCAUUUGAAGAGCCUAGAAGCUGCAAAGGUUUUAGCAGAAAACCUUCUAGAUACAAUAGCAGCGGAACUUGGCGCUUCCAGAAUUUCUUCUUCAAAAGUAUAUGGUGCUGUUCCACCUCCUCAGCAACUGUUGACUGGUGUGCACACCUCGGGAACAUCAGACAUGUGUGUGUCAACUGGAGCAUCACAUUCCUUUGCCCCUACUGGAGUUACUUCUCCCAUAGCUGCCCCUUCAGUGACACUUCAAUCUGGGGCGCCAACUUAUUCCGGGAUUCUCCCACCCAGUAACCUGAUCUAUCCUAGUCAAGCAGCAAAUCAUGGGGCUUUUUACAAUGGCUAUGGAGACAUCUAUCCCCAGGCAACUCCAUUGCAGCAGGUGGCAUUAACACUCAAGCAUGCUUCAUCUUCGACAACUCAGGUUAUUCCAGUGGCAUCCACAUCAGCAAGCAUGACGACAAGUGUGAACACAAGUACAAAGUUGGAGGCAGAUAAACGCUCACAGAGGAGGAAAUUCCAGGAACUGCCAACAGCAGAUCUUCAGAACUCACAACAGGGGUCCAAAUUUGUUAAGACAGGUUUAGAUGAUCUAGGUAAAAUGAACAGUUCAUCGGUUGCAGCUACAAUGAAAGUUCAGCCUGGAUCAAAUAGGAUACUUCCACAAGAUCCACAUCCAUCUCAUCCAUCUGUAUACACUAGCAUGCCGCCACCACCACCACCCAAGAACAUGUCACUGCCAUAUCCCAAUAGCAUGCCACCGCCACCGCCCAGGAGCAUGCCUCCGCCACCACCUAAGUUCCCUUCAAAUGAAGUGUUAAGAAAUGAGAACAGGCAUUCAGCUGUAAAGGAGCUGCUGGCGCCUCCGAGAUCGAGUUCUGCUGCACCACCUCCGAAGGAGCCUAAAGAGGAAAAGCCAAGCAGUGCAUCUGUUUCCGAUACUCUGCUGAAGCUUAUGGACUACGGGGAUGAUGAUGAAGAGGACGACGACUAGCGUGCCUGGAGGGAAUACAGCUCCCAGUUCAGGGCAGAAGCCGUUUUGGUCUGUGCGAGAAUGAGCGUGUAAUGUAACUGUACUGUGGGUAACACUAGUGCGGUGAAUUGGAAAUGCAGGUAGACAGCUUAAUUACCUGUCCUGAUGCAUUUUCUCAACGCAACAAGUCGUUGAGCUUGUCAUUUUGUAUCAGUGUUAUCAGGUCAACAGAUACCCCUGAUCUGGAUACACGUGAUUUUCCCAUCUGAAGUGCAGUCAGUAAUGAGCAUGGUUCCUUGAGUAUUCUUUCGAUAUGUUUAUAUGUGUUUAGGUGCUGUUAGCAUUGUACUACUCCCUCCG
rnacentral:rRNA from 1 species